AGUCCAUGAUGGGACACAACCCCAAUAAUUUUUUAAAUUUGUCCCAAGCGUCACAUAAAGACUCUCCUUCCUUUUGAGUGAAAUUAGUGAUAUAGUUCCUAAGUUG